rnacentral:lncRNA from 1 species
UCAGCUGCAAAAACAAAAAUCGGACCCCCCUAUCGAUCAUCUUCUUCAAGCAGCCUUCCAUGGUUUUUUUUUUCUGAACAAAAAAACAACACCCCUAGCCUUUUCAUCUUCUUAGUCGUUGAACAGACUCAGCGACCCUCCUCAUUUUCCAUCGUCUUCCCCCUCAUUCUCUCACCAUCGCCACUAGCCUUUCCAUCCUCCACAAAACACGCACACACGGACAGAGAUUGGGGGAACAAAUUUUGGGGAUAAAAUUGGGAAGGAAGGCAGAGAAACAGUUUGACUGCUGCGUAGUCGAAGUUUCCGUUCGAGGUAUGGUCUGUAUUUCCGAUUCGGGUUCGCGGUUCCCUUCUCGAUUUCGUUGCUAUUUUUCUCAGUUAGAUUUGAAGCCCUGUACUUUUAGAUUUCUCAUAUAUUAAUGCAGGUUCAUCUUUUUCAUCCCUUUAUUUCCGUUGUGAAUCGAGCUUGAUGAGCCAUUAAAAGAAGUUAUCGUUGGGGG